UACGGAGGAUGCAAGCGUUAUCCGGAUUCAUUGGGUUUAAAGGGUGCGCAGGCGGAUUGAUAAGUCAGUGGUGAAAUUCAACGGCUCAACUGUUGACCUGCCAUUGAUACUGUUAGUCUAGAGUAUAGUUGAAGUGGGCGGAAUGUGUCAUGUAGCGGUGAAAUGCUUAGAUAUGACACAGAACACCGAUCGCGAAGGCAGCUCACUAAGCUAAAACUGACGCUCAUGCACGAAAGCGUGGGGAUCAAACAGGAUUAGAUACCCUGGUAGUCCACGCUGUAAACGAUGAUUACUCGAUGUUGGCGAUACACAGUCAGCGUCUGAACGAAAGUAUUAAGUAAUCCACCUGGGGAGUACGUUCGCAAGGAUG
rnacentral:rRNA from 1 species